CCCUUAAAAUAUAUAAAAAUGAAAGUAAAUGUUGAAUGCGAGUAUUGGUGUUAUAAAUAUGUAUCAGAAUCCGGGGUUUAAAAAAACAUGUUAGAUUUUAAAAAUAGGAGCACAACUAAAGCUGUAUACAUGCUAGAACCGGAUAUGGUACCGUAUUUUUGUCAUUUUUCACCAAAAACUGGUUAUUUUGUAAAGGUUUUGCCAUACUGGUUUCAUCUCGCCCAAAAUAUUUAAAGUAUUUUUAUAAUAUACACCUUUUCAAUUGACCAUAAAUGCAAAAAUAUUUUAGGGCGAGCUAGGAGCACUAUUUUUAUUUUUCAAAAAACGAUAUUCCGGAUUGCUGAAAAAUAUUACGGUUAUAAUGCGCUGGUGGUGGUAAACUUGAAUUUUACAGAAAAUAUGGCUGGUUUAAGUAUCUUAUGGAGAAGGAAACUACGUUUUUUAUUUCGUGGCAUGUAUAUGUACAUAGGUCAUUUUAGUUUGGUGUUUAUUUUUAAAGUAAGGGGAAUUCCCUCACCUAAUAAUAGUUUUCGGUUGCAGCUUGUUUUGCCCUUUUACUAUAGAUGUUCAUUUUCAAUACCUAGUUGUUUUCAUCUUUUAAGGUCGUUCACAAUACAUCUUCAUUUUUGGUAGUUUUACAUUAUUAUCAUAAACAUUAUCAUUUAACGAAACGACAGUUAUUGAAACUGUUAGGCCUAGUGACUGAAAUGAACAUGGCGCAGCGUCUUCUUUUACUUUGGGAUAUCGGAAAAUAUUCAGGCUUCACGCAAGUAUUCUUGUAUGGUACUGAUAUCAUAUCGAAUAAUUUUUGCUUUAUUUAUUUUACAAAAUUGUUACUACGCAGCUUUAGACUGUCAACAUUCGAAAUAACUGUUUUAUUUAACCUAACUUUAUGUACAUUGGGAGCAAAUCCUUCUUUGAUUUACAGUACAUCCAAGUUUCGGGCUGAAUAUUAGCAUGGCCUGGUCAGGCAAAAGGGAAUUCAAAAUAACAGAUUUAAACUACAAUAUGACUUACCAUAGCAUGCAGCAUUGCCGCCAGUUAAAUCCGAAACACUAAAUUAUGUAAGCAAUUCAUAGAUAGCGAUCCACAUGUUAUCGAUGAGACAUGACGUCAUCUGUUGUAAGACAUUCAUGACGCAUUUUAUGCUUCGAUAGGCGGAUCAAGUAACCCCCAUAUGAAAAUACUCGAUAUACCGGUUUUUUUAAAUUUUUAUUUCACAUAUGAUAUCGUUGUACAUGUCAAGAGUUUUUUAUUUUCUAUUUUUAUGUAACUUUACUUGUAAACAAAGACUGCGUUUUGUUUUUUGUUUGGGGGGGGGGGGGGGGGGGGGGGUAAGACAGUACAGUAUUUAUUGUGCAUGUUUAAUUCGGUUGAUUUUCAAUUUCAUGGCCUAGUUCGAGGGCCUAUCAAUGUAUCAGUGUUCCAUUGUCCAAUGCAAAAUUAGAAAAGGAAAAGUAGUGUCGACUUGGUUGUCAAGGAGGUGUGUCCCCAUGCCAAGUUACAUUUACACAAUAUAAACAAAUAUUUUUUUCAGCGUGCUCAACAAAUCAAAUUGCGUGAUACAAGUAAAAUUAAAUUAUGACAGAUGGACUGAAUGCUAUAUUAUAUAUGUUUUGCCAAUUGAUAAACUGGACAUGUGUUGUGCCAAUAAAUAUAUCUUAAUUUAAUAAUCCAGCCUACAAUAGCAACAGGAAAUUGUGCUUAAAUUGCCAAAUCUUCAAAACCUUAAAUUGUGUACAUGUGUGUGGUGGCGGUGGUGGGUGCUGGUCUUCAUCCACUCAAACUGUCCCAAUCCCCCUCCCAAAUUCAAUUUCUUUAAGUGUGCAGUGGAUAGAUCGCCACAUGGACCCAUCCAAGUCUACUGUAAGGAUGUUUUAAAAUAUCGGUUUCAAAUGCAAUUAGUUCACACACAAAAAUAUAUAGACAACAUUAUUUGACGAUUUGCAUUUUAGUUGCUUCUAUUCAUACACACUAUACAACAUUACUGAAUCUAUGAGAGAGAGAGAGAGAGAGAGAGAGAGAGAGAGAGAGAGAGAGCACCAGUAAUUGUAUACAGGUACGGGAAGUUUAAUCAAAUCUUAAAUGUACAAUUAUAUUAUUCUUAUUAAUUAACCAUUCCACUUCAUUCUGAUAUAUUUCAUUUCCCUUUUUUCCAUUUUAAAUUAUUCGGCUGGCGCGAGUUAGGACUGCCCCCCCCCCCUCCCUUUUUUAAACCGAUGUUACGUGCCUAGCUAUCUAACGCCCUCUCAGUCAAAAAUGAAAUAAAUAUAUAAUUUAUAUUACUACAACUUCAUUGGAUUUACUAGACUUUUUUCCCCCACCGUAAUACAUGUUUAUGCAAGCUGACAAUCUAGGUAUUUUAAAAUUUUUUUUCCAUCUUCGAUAGCAAAAUGUAUUCAGUCCACGAAGAGCAGAAUGGACCCAAAACCCAUGGCAACCGAAGAUGAUUUUUACCCCCGUUUUCGGGUGUUAUAACUGACCAAAAAAAAAAAAAGAGUAUGUUUUAUAACUUUCAUUCAGAAGACGGGAAAGUUCAUGAGUCACUGAAUAAACAAAAAAUCGUCCGCAGUCUUAUUUCAAUCGCGUUGUCAACUGUAUACUUUUUGAUAUUUCUACACUACCUGUAAACAUGUAGACAGCGGAUCUAAAUCAUCUAAUAUUCUUAAUUACAAUAAAAAAUAUACAUUAAAAGACAUGUGGUGCACUAAUAUAAAUGUCAAUCUUUUAAAAUAAUCGCACAAAUAAAACAAUGCUUUUACUUGUCAUUUUAUGGUCCACAUUUUUUUGAGUUGCUAUAAUUCAUGCUAUUUAACAAAUUGAAAUCAAUGCCAAUUUAUACCAUGUGAUAUUCGUUUGUUCAUUUUCAAAGUCAAAUGAUCCUGAAAGUCUCUUAUUUGGUGAACUCGUGCUGUGAAACAAUGUACCGACUAACACGUACAGGUGUUUGUGUACGGGGUGUCGAGAAUUUGGUCGUUUCAUAAACACCCCUACUAACGUGUUCGGAACAUAUUCUUUAUCGGUGUUAAGUAGAGCGUAAAAUCAAAGACUAUCAAAUGAAAUAUAAUCUCGCUGCUCCGAGACUCCAACGCGAGCUACCUGAGACCCGGUGAAUUUUCUACCGGAUAUGGAUGUGCUUUAAGGAAUUCCAGUGUUAAUUGUACUUUUUGGGGACUUUGAGUGAUUCACCACCCUUUGAACAAAUGUAUUUUGAGAUCCUCAAAGGAAUCCUAGAUUUGUCAAGAAGCCAUGUUUUAAUUGCUGCCCAUCAAAUAGUACUGUGUCUUGCAUGUGUAAAUUAGAUUCAUUUUGAGGAAAUAGCUGGUGUGCAGUGCACAUUCCUAAAUGAAUUCAUCAGUUUACAUUAAGGAUCUACCUUCAAAUCCUGUAAUCUGGGAUGCUCUAAAGUGCAUGUCACAGACUAAAGUUAUAGAAAUAACUUCCAAGAAUUUUUAAGAAAUUGAUAUAACUUUGAAAUGUAUGUAUAUACAUGUAUACUGAUGUUGAAUUAAAUUUUAUAAAAUUUCA